rnacentral:SRP_RNA from 12 species
UCGAGGACAAGCUCGAGAAGGUGGUGCGGCUCUUUGGCUACCUGUCCGACAAGGACAUCUUCGUCAAGUUCUACAGGAAGCAGCUCGCGAAGCGGCUGCUCCUGGCGCGCUCAGUGGGCGCCAGCGCAGAGCGCUC